GCAGGCCGGUCCCGGAAAUGGAAGCGUUUGCCGUACAAGAUGGCUGCUUCCUUUGUGGUGGUAUAACUUCAUUUGGAGACAGCAUUAAAAUGGUAAAUGUAGCACCUGUUUGUGAUGAGACCAGGCUAAUUUUCUUCCUGAGUCCCUGUAACAGGUGUUCUUUUGGCAAGAUAGCCUGUUCCCAGCUUUAAAGGAGUUCCAACAAGAUACAGAAAGCUCAUUACACAGAGACGUUGAUCACUGUGAAACAUCAGAAGUAACCUAACAAUAAAUCAACAUAGGAGGGGUUAAAGAAAUAAUGAUUCAUUCGUUCAAAGGAAAAUUGCAGCCAUUAAUAUAAUGACAAUUAUGUGUCAAUGCUUUGAAGUUAUGCUAAAUCAAGAAAUCUUAUAAAAUAGUACUUGGAUUGGGAAUCCAACUAUGUCAAGAAGCAUGUACACAAAAAGAGCAAAAACAGCCUAAUCACCUACUGUGUGCUAGACCUUCUACUGAGUCUUAAGGAUACACAAAUGAAUAAAAUGUGGUCCUGAUACAGCUCUCUGUUAUGAUACAUGCACCAAGUCAUGUGCAGUUAAGUGUUUAACAGCCGCCUAUCAGUUGAGGGUGGGGGAAAACAUUUUGUAUUUUUGCCAGUUUCUGUAGUGUACGCAUUUCCACCAUGGCUGG